GUGGGGAGUAGGCGUAAAAAGGCUCGGCCUUACCGCAGAGAUUUGGGUCCCGGGCUUCCCCGCUCCGGGCCGGGACCUGGACCGCUGGCCCGUUGUCCGCUCCGCCACCGAGUCCGUUGGCGGCGGCCGCGUCCAGGGACCCGGCUCCCACUCCCAGGACUGCAGAAGUACUUGUGGAACCAGCACGGGGGCUGGAAUGGCCUUCUCAUAUCGGGCCCAUGGACACUGCUUGUUUCCCUGAUUGCCUAAGUACAUGCUGUGGCUAGUAAGUCUGAGAUAAUCACACGGACUUGUCCUGUGUUUGUCACAUUCUGGCAUAUGGGUGAUCUCGUCCAACCAGAGUCAACAUGGACUCCUCCAGCAUUGUAUUUCUUUCAGGUUGUUGAUGUGGAGCAGAUGAGGAGGAGGUACCUUUCGAGCAGAGGAUUUCUAUAGAAGUGUCAGAGGUUUCACACUGAAUCAAGGCCUUAUGAGUGUGGUGAAUGUGGGAAAUCUUUUAGCCAAAGUUCGUGCUCUUCCAACAUCAAGAAUUCACACUGGAGUAUGGGGAAUCUGGGAGUGUCACCCUUGACCCGCAAGGACGACAAGAAGCCCCGGUUCAGAUGUAUCUUCUCUCUAUUUCCAUUCAGCAUGAAUAGUUCAUCAUUUUUAUAUCAUUGAGAAGUAUGAUUUUCUAUGAACUACCGCUGCUUGUAUAUUCAUUCAUCUGUUUAUGGAUACCGACUGCUUUCCGGUACUGGUUGUUACAAAUAAAAUCACUACAGACGUUUUAAUACAA